GGAGCCCCACGAGGACCUAGGUGGGCUCGCCUCGCUAGCAGGCCCGCGGGCGGCCGAGAGGUUGGCAGCCCCAGACCGCGUGCGGUUAGAUUGAUUGAUUCCCUCGAAAUAAAGUUCUACUUCAGCAAGCAAACAAGGCCGAGACCCACCUCCUGUCCCCAGCGCACCCAAGUCACUCUAGGACCCACAAGAGACGCAAAUCCAUCCAGCGGGUCUCCUCAGCGCUUCCAGCCGCCCCCAGACCCAAACCCUUUCCCCCAGACCCUGCGGCCCUCCCCGCCCCUCCCCCACACCAGGCGGGAGACUCUGGGCAGCCGCACCGUGGGCCCUGCCGCUCCAGAAGCCAAAGUCCGCGGUUGGGGACCGUUUUCCUCUCCAGUGCUCUCACGUGAACAACAAGGACAGAGGUGACCCUCGUCCAAAGGGCUUUUAUCUGCCCCCCACUGCCGCGUGAUCUCUUCACAGGUUGGAGGCAGAGCUUAAAAAGGAAAGAAAGAAAGUUAAUGUGCAUUGAGCACAGAUCUUAAAUCGGGGGAGUUAUCUCCGAUCUCUUUAAAUGGCAGCAGCAGUCCCAUGCACAACAGACUCAGUGUCUGCGUUCCAAAAGCUUGUGGGUAAAGUUUCAGUCAGAUAAAAGACACCUAAAGCGCAAAAACAUAGGUUUUCUCUGCUCCACAGAACUGCCGGCUGCUUUUCGCUCCCGGUUCCACCAGGGUGGGGUUUGUCCUCGCCCACUUGGGGGGUGCGGGGAGGCUUUGACCAGAAUAGUAAAUGAAAGAUCUCAGAACUCCAUUCUCCCCUACCAACCCUCCUAGCGCCACGGCGAUGGGUUCUUUGGGACUAACUCGUAUCUGCUACUAUUUGUUACAAAAUCAAAUUCCACAUUAAAAAAAAAACACAAACAAACCAACCCUGAAAACCACCGACAAA